UUUAGGUCCCAAGUGAAUCACAGCCUCUGCAUAAAGAGCUUCUUUGUGAACUAUUUACAGAAGCUCCGUCAGAGCCUGAAAUAUUCUUCUCCCUACAGGAUGAGGCUAUGCAUAAAGAGAAUAACUCGGAUGAAGACGAGACUUCAACUCUUCAUGAAGAUGAGCUUUCUGCUCUUUCCUCUGACGCUGAGCCACAAGCCUCCUCAGCUCCCUGUCCAGAUUUGAUGAACCUGGUUGAGGAGGUGACCUGUCUUGUGGGAGGGAUCCAUCUGACAGAAGUCUGCACAGGUAUCAC